rnacentral:lncRNA from 1 species
UGGAAUUUCCUUUUUAAGUGAUGCAUAUUGGACCAGUUAGUACUGACUUUGCUAUGCUUAAUUACCUAAUUAAAUUGGAACAACAACCAAACUCAAGCACUAAUAAAACAAAAGGGUGUGUUAUGAUAUAAUCACCCGACCUAAAUUUCUGCAUUAAUUUCCACUCUAUUAAUUAUAUUAAUAAACUUACAAACAAGUACAGAUGGAUUAGGUUAUUAUUGUUCAAUUCAUGAGCUUGUCUCCGCUUAUUGCUCGCUUUAAAAGCUAUA